AAGCAUAUCAGACGCGGGGAGAGCAGUGUGCAGAACGCCAUCCCUGCCCUGUAAUUUUGAAGCAGUGCUAACCAACAUGAGUGCCACACACCAGCAUGCACACGAGUGGGCUACGGGCAUGCAGAUAUUCUGGCCCUGAGGCAUUGCUGCUGGAGCAGAUUACGAUUCUAUCAGCACCCUAGAGAAGAACUUAGAGAUGGAGAUUGUCAGCAAUGACUACCAGCCUUAGAAACCAUCUGGAAAAAUAAAAUUGUUAAUGGAA
rnacentral:lncRNA from 1 species